rnacentral:rRNA from 1 species
AGAAUCAACGCUGGCGGCGUGCCUAACACAUGCAAGUCGAACGAGAAAGGGGAGCAAUCCCUGAGUAAAGUGGCGACCGGGUGAGUAACACGUGACUAACCUGCCUUCGAGUGGGGGAUAACCUCGGGAAACCGGGGCUAAUACCGCAUAAUGCCUUCGGGUUAAAGGAGCAAUUCGCUUGAAGAGGGGGUCGCGGCUGAUUAGCUAGUUGGCGGGGUAACGGCCCACCAAGGCGAAGAUCGGUAGCCGGCCUGAGAGGGCGCACGGCCACACUGGAACUGAAACACGGUCCAGACUCCUACGGGAGGCAGCAGUGGGGAAUUUUGCGCAAUGGGGGAAACCCUGACGCAGCAACGCCGCGUGGAGGAUGAAGUCCUUUGGGACGUAAACUCCUUUCGACCGGGACGAUUAUGACGGUACCGGUGGAAGAAGCCCCGGCUAACUUCGUGCCAGCAGCCGCGGUAAUACGAGGGGGGCGAGCGUUGUUCGGAAUUAUUGGGCGUAAAGGGCGCGUAGGCGGUGCGGUAAGUCACCUGUGAAACCUCUGGGCUUAACUCAGAGCCUGCAGGCGAAACUGCCGUGCUGGAGUGUGGGAGAG